CCGCAUGGUUCUAAAGUGAAAGAUGGUUUUGCUAUCACUUAUAGAUGGACCCGCGCCGUAUUAGCUAGUUGGUAAGGUAACGGCUUACCAAGGCAACGAUACGUAGCCGACCUGAGAGGGUGAUCGGCCACACUGGAACUGAGACACGGYCCAGACUCCUACGGGAGGCAGCAGUAGGGAAUCUUCCGCAAUGGGCGAAAGCCUGACGGAGCAACGCCGCGUGAGUGAUGAAGGUCUUCGGAUCGUAAAACUCUGUUAUUAGGGAAGAACAAAUGUGUAAGUAACUGUGCACGUCUUGACGGUACCUAAUCAGAAAGCCACGGCUAACUACGUGCCAGCAGCCGCGGUAAUACGUAGGUGGCAAGCGUUAUCCGGAAUUAUUGGGCGUAAAGCGCGCGUAGGCGGUUUCUUAAGUCUGAUGUGAAAGCCCACGGCUCAACCGUGGAGGGUCAUUGGAAACUGGGAAACUUGAGUGCAGAAGAGGAAAGUGGAAUUCCAUGUGUAGCGGUGAAAUGCGCAGAGAUAUGGAGGAACACCAGUGGCGAAGGCGACUUUCUGGUCUGUAACUGACGCUGAUGUGCGAAAGCGUGGGGAUCAAACAGGAUUAGAUACCCUGGUAGUCCACGCCGUAAACGAUGARUGCUAAGUGUUAGGGGGUUUCCGCCCCUUAGUGCUGCAGCUAACGCAUUAAGCA
rnacentral:rRNA from 1 species